GGGGAGGUGUCCGAGAGGCUGAAGGAGCACGCUUGGAAAGCGUGUAAACGCGUAAGCGUUUCGGGGGUUCGAAUCCCCUCCUCUCUAUCA
rnacentral:tRNA from 1 species